AUUUCAGAGGUUGCCACAGAAGGGAGAUUGGGAAGAGAAGAGAGGGAAUGGUGUUUAAUGAUUGUCUUUGGUUUCUUUUUCGAAAAAUAGCUGUACAAAAUAAUAUGUGCACAACAACACGAAACAAAAGCUACAACUGCCCUCCCAUCACUAAUUGCAAUUCCAGGGAAAACUAUGCUAUCUGAAGCAUUUGCUUGUUAAAGACCCUACUUUAACUUUCAAAUAUUAUUGAGUGUUUAUAAGUCAUGCCCAUGUCUCAGGUUCUGAUUUUACAUUACCCAAAACCCUAUUUGAGUACCUACUGUGUGCCUCGUACAUAGAAAAAUUUGUAUAAGGCGUGAUCCUUUGCUCUCAAGAAGUUUGCAUUCUACUUCCAGAAGGCAGGCCCUGCAAACACUGCACGGAAUUCUACGGAGUCAUGAGCACACAAUUCUUAUGUAGCUGAGAAGAGGGCACAGAAUACCCUAGAGGCCAUUGGGCAGGGGCUCAAGUGGCCUGUAGGGUAGCCUGACCCUGCCACUGCCUCCUGGAGCUAUUUAGGGGAUGUGGCAGUAAACAGCAUGAUGCCUGUCGUUAUUUUCUCCUCUGACCCACCCCCCGUCAUGGGAGGAGCCCAGGCCUGACUUAGCAGGGUUCUUAGACUUGUCAGGAGCCAGAAGACAUUGUGGGGGAGGGCUGUGAGUAAUAGGAGCCUUAUGCUUGCGGUUGCUACAGGAGGGGGGCGAUCAGGUGCUCCCCAGAUAGCCUUCCAAAUGCUCUCAAAAUCACAUCCUGCCUCAUUGCCUCAUCCUGCUAAUCGGACCCUAAAACAAGGUUUGGCUUGCCUUUGAGAAAUCUGCUUGACCUGAAACAGUAGGUGAUAUACCUAGAGUCCACAAAGCUUCUCCCAGAUGUGCUAUCCAAAGCUGACACUCCUCUUGAAGAACAGAGGAAGCAACUACAAGCUCUCCAUUCCCUCCCAACCCAUCUGUGCCUUCCAAGGAAAAUUUACUCAGGCAGGCUCCCAGUGAGAAGAACAUCUGUGAACUGUCAUGUGCAGAGUGCUUUAGGACACUACUAUGGACAAUAUUUGUAGCUCCCCCAAAUUCGUAUGUUGAAGCCUAAAUCCCCAAUGUGAUGGUAUCUGGAAGUGGGGCCUUCCAGAAGUAAUUAGGGUGUGAAGAUGGAGCCCUCAUGAAUCGGAUUAGUGUCCUUAUAAAAACAGACCUGAGAGGAAUGAUCUCUCUCUUUCUCUGCUUUCCUUCAUGUGAAAACACAGCAAGAAAGCAGCUGUCUGUGAAUCAGAAAGACUGUUCUCACCAGAUACCAGGUCUGCUGGUGCCUUGAUCUUGGACUUCCAGCCUCCAGAACUGUGAAAAAUAAAUAUUUGCUGUUUAAGCCACCCAGUCUAUUUAUUCUAAAACUGACACUCUACUAUGUACCUGGACAUUUUAUUUGCCUUAGUGUUCUUACAAGUUGCAAGGCUUGGUACACUUUUAUUUCACAGCCAAUGUGAAAGAGAACCCAUCAGCUUCCAAAGAGAAGAGACUCAUUUGCUGUGCUCAGUGACAAAUGAGGAAUCUGAAGAACUUGUUUUAAACAAUUUCCAUGGUGGUCUUACAACCAGAUGCCCUAGAAUCCCCAGAGUACUUCUCUCUACCCACCAUUCCACCCAAAUCCACUGGAGACAUGUGAAAUUCACCAAGAAUAGAGUCACUUAGAAAUCCACUGACUUGGGAGCACAGAAUGACCUUAUUAUAUUGAUUGAGACAUGAUGUUAUUUCCUUAGUAAAUAAAAUCAAUAUAAGUAAGCAUCUAUGACUUUUACUGUGGUGUGACCUACCAAUUCCUACUGGAUUCCAAAGCUCUUUAGUCCUGUACUGUUUGAAGUUUUAGUAGUAAAUACAUGUUUUCCAUUUCUCUUGGCUGAAUAGAUAGGACUAAAAGUUCUGGGUCUUAUAAGUAUGCUUAACUUUAUAAGAAACUGUCAAACUUUUCUAAAGCAAUUGCCCCGUUUUACAUCCCUACCGGCAAUAUGAGUCUCAGUUGUUUUACAGACUCUCCAAAAGUUGACAUUGCCGGUCCUUUUAAUUGUAGCCCGUCUAGUGGUAAGAAAAAGAAAGGCAAUAAACAGCAGAAAGCCAUGAAACAGAAAAAGGAAAACCAGUAAAGAAGAACUGAUGAAACUAAAAUCUGUUUGUUU